rnacentral:misc_RNA from 1 species
AAUCUCAACCCUCCUAGGUUUUUGACCUGGUUGGGCUUGGACAUGGGCGUCUGCCAGCAAUGGCUCGCCUUAAAUGACUUAGUGGAACAUCCCGCAUCAGUGUUAGACGUAAUAAGUUUCGUCUCUCCUUGUGGUGAUGACUGCUCAUAAUCUGCCAUCGCGCACUUUCAAC